CUGGUAGUUCAGUUGGUUAGAACGCUAGCCUGUCACGCUAGAGGUCGUGGGUUCGAGCCCCAUUC
rnacentral:tRNA from 4 species